GCUUAAAGCGGCCGUAGCUUGAUAAUAGGGUCCCUUGAGAAAUCCGCCGGCUUAACUGGCGGGCGUUCAGGGGAAACUUGUUUUCUAGGGACCGGGAGAGGUGAGGGGUACUGCCGGGGUAGGAGUGAAAUCCUGUAAUCCCGGUGGGACCACCUAUGGCGAAGGCAUCUCACCAGAACGGGUCCGACAGUGAGGGACGAAAGCUGGGGGAGCAAACCGGAUUAGAUACCCGGGUAGUCCCAGCUGUAAACUAUGUGCGUUAGGUGUGUCAGUGACCACGUGUCACUGAGGUGCCGAAGGGAAACCGUGAAACGCACCGCCUGGGGAGUACGGUCGCAAGGCUGAAACUUAAAGGAAUUGGCGGGGGAGCACCACAACGGGUGGAGCCUGCGGUUUAAUCGGACUCAACGCCGGGAAUCUCACCGGAUAAGACAGCUGAAUGAUAGUCGGGAUGAAGACUCUACUUGACUAGCUGAGAGGAGGUGCAUGGCCGUCGUCAGUUCGUACUGUGAAGCAUCCUGUUUAGUCAGGCAACGAGCGAGACCCACGCGAGCAGUUGCCAGCUUGACCUUCGGGUUGAUGGGGACACUGCUCGGACCGCCUCUGCUAAAGGGGAGGAAGGACUGGGCAACGGUAGGUCAGCAUGCCCCGAAUUAUCCGGGCUACACGCGGGCUACAAUGGACAGGACAAUGAGUUUCGACACCGAGAGGUGAGGAUAAUCUUCUAACCCUGUCCCAAGUUCGGAUUGCGGGUUGUAAGUCACCCGCAUGAAGCUGGAAUCCGUAGUAAUCGCGUUACGACAUACCGCGGUGAAUAUGUCCCUGCUCCUUGCACACACCGC
rnacentral:rRNA from 1 species